CAAUAAUCCUCGCUGUUCGCUCAUUCUUCAACCCUGACGAGCCAGGCUAAGACCACAAACAAACUAAGUACUGAGGUUGUUUAUAAUGAUGGGUGCGUGCCUACGAGAACACUAAAGCCUUUGAUAGCAUGUGGUCUGCAGAACUUUUGAGGAAAAAAAAAAAGUCUAGCCACCCUCAUCUACGUCCAUACCACUGGAACUCACAGAUCUAUUUUUCUGAACUCUCUCGGAUGGCUCUGAUGACAAGCCAGCCUGUUUCCAAUCUGCCCUUCCCUGUCACCAGACACCUGCACUUCUUUGCAUCAGCUUGCCCAGAACUUGCUCACUGCAUUCGAAGAUGGUGCGGGCAAUCGCUCCUUCGCUCUGUACACGGUUCUGUUAGGAGCCAACGGACCCUCACUCCACCAAUCACAGCUCUACACGAGGCAGCAUCCAGAGCGGACU